UACGUAGGGGGCAAGCGUUGUCCGGAAUCAUUGGGCGUAAAGAGCGUGUAGGUGGCUCGGUAAGUCCGCUGUGAAAGUCCAGGGCUCAACCCUGGAAUGCCGGUGGAAACUGUCGAGCUCGAGUCCGGAAGAGGCGAGUGGAAUUCCUGGUGUAGCGGUGAAAUGCGCAGAUAUCAGGAGAAACACCAAUGGCGAAGGCAGCUCGCUGGGACGGUACUGACACUGAGACGCGAAAGCGUGGGGAGCAAACAGG
rnacentral:rRNA from 1 species